CCAUGUGAUAUUCCUUUUUCGUCUUUCUUUCCAAAUGGAUAACGGGGACCUUUUUUGCUUAGGCCAUCAUCACAAAGAAUAAAAUAUAUAUACACCAUUUUACUGAAUUUUCAUUUUUGGGAGGGAUGGACCUGCAGAGAACACAAUAUUCUCUCCAUUCUUUAUAUAUAUCACACACAGGCCCUCCUCAUAAGAGAGUAACAACAAUACCCUCACACUGACUUCACCUUCACAUACCCACAUAUACUACACACUCUUAAUUCCAUCGGGAUACACACAGAAAUGGAUAGAUAAGAGAUGACGUGAGAAAGAAAGAGCUGCGAGAGAGUGAGAGAGAUCUGCGAUAGAGAUAUCUAUGAGAUACUGACAGAGAUUUGCGAGAGAGGGAGAGAUUCGUGAUUGAAAUUGAAAGAGAACGAUGGAGAAGCAGUUUUUGGAGAGCGAGAGGCUAAGGAACACAAGUUUGGUGGUUUGAUUAGUGUUCCGGCAACAGGCUCGCUGGAAUCGCGUCUAGCUGUCAUAAAUUCAUUCAAAACCCAUCAAAUACGUCUCAACUGAUAUCUCUUUGUCGUUUUGGUCAUAUCCGAAGUUUAACGAGGUUACAGCGACACACAAUCAUCAAACAAACCUCGAUCUGCUUUUGAUUUCGUCCAAACCCAUUGGAAUCGGGUCGGAUUUCUUUUAUUUCUCAUGAUUUUUAUUUCGAGGUUGUGUGGGUUCGUGAGAAUCUUGUCCAUGUCUCUUUGUUUCUAUGAUUCUCAGUUCCAAGUUAGAUGACUUCGUUUGUUUGAGGUUCGGUUUGAGGUUUUCGAGCGAGGAUUCUUUUUAUUCGAAUAACAUUGAGUUUGAAAUCUACGAAUCGAGGUCCAAUUCUAUUAUCUCUCUUUUUAUUUCAUUAUUUACUGUAUUUUGGUGUGUUGGAUUGAAUAUUGUGUUUUUUUAUCCUUGUUAGUGAUGAACGCGUAUUAGUUUUGAUUCGUGGUUGGUUCCUUUGAUUAUGAUUUGCAUGGUGAAAUAGCAUCUCAUUUGUGAAUUAAAAUUGGUUGUUUGGGGCAGAAUUAAAAUUGAUAAAAGUGAAUACGUAUUUGUUUUAAUUAGUUAUUAGCGGU
rnacentral:lncRNA from 1 species